UACGUAGGGUGCGAGCGUUGUCCGGAAUUAUUGGGCGUAAAGAGCUUGUAGGCGGUUUGUCGCGUCUGCUGUGAAAGCCCCGGGCUCAACCCGGGAACUGCGUUUGAAACUGGCAGGCUAGAGUUUGGCAGAGGGGGGUGGAAUUCCACGUGUAGCAGUGAAAUGCGUAGAGAUGUGGAGGAACACCGAUGGCGAAGGCAGCCCCCCUGGGUCAAGACUGACGCUCAUGCACGAAAGCGUGGGGAGCAAACAGG
rnacentral:rRNA from 1 species